GCGGGGCCUGCGCGCGCAGGCGCGGUGUCCGCCUCCCCGUCCCGCCUCAUCCCCGGCCGCCGAGGAGGACAGAGCGUCUGAGGCGCCGCUGCUGGGGCAGAGCCGGCGGACGACGCAGGCGCAGUGCCCGCGCCGGCUCCGCCCCCAGGUCGGCUACUCCUAAAUCUGACGUGGGAGGCUGGAGACACAGGAAAGGGUUGAAGUUGCAGUCCAGAGACCGUCUCCUGUGGAACCAGCGAGAGCUGAUGUCGCAGCAGAGCUCAGAAGGCACCCGACGAGGGAGAGUUCCUUGCUCAGAGGCCAUGGGCCUUUGUUCUACUCAGGCCCUUAACUGUCCACGUGAUGAAAAGCAAUCUGCUUUCCUCAAAGUCUAAGGACUCAAAUGUCUCAUCGAAAAACACCUUCAGAGGAACAUGCAGAGUCAUGCCUGAGCAAGCCUCUGGACCCCGUGACCCACCCGGGCUGACGCGGGCAAGUUUCCCUCACAGUUCCCUCACUAGCCUUUUGGUACCUGCGGUGUCUGGAACGCUCUCUCCUGUUUCGUUCCUGAUAUUGGUCAUUGUCUUCUUGUUUUUCCUUUGUUAGUCUUGCCUGAGGUUUCCGUGUGGACACAUAUGUUCAUUUCUUGGGUAUAUGCCUUGGAAUGGAUUUGCUGGGAUCCGGGACAGCUCUGCGAUCAGCAUUCGGAGGAAUUGCCCGCCAUUUUCUAAAGCAGCUGUUCAUCUUACACUCCCACCAGCAGCAUGGAGAGUCCAGCGCCUCCACAUCCUGCUCAGCGCUCACUAUUUGACUUGUUGGGUCUAGCUAUCCUGGUGGGUGUGCAAUGUGAUGCCACUGUGGUUUUGAUUUGCAGUUCCCGAGAGCUCAUGAUGAUCAUCUUUGAUGUGCUUAUUGGCUAUUUGCAGUUGUCUAUUUAAGUCCUUUGUCCAUUUUAAAAUCAGGUUCUAGCUGGGUGCAGUGGCUCACACCUGUAAUCCCAGCACUUUGGGAGGGCAAGGCGGGCAGAUCCCCUGAAGUCAGGGUUCAAGAUCAGCCUGGCCAACAUGGCGAAACCCCAUUUCUACUAAAAAUACAAAAAUUAGCUGGGAGUGAUGGUCUGUGCCUGUAGUCCCAGCUACUUGGGAGGCUGAGGCAGGAGAAUCGCUUGAAUCUAGGAGGUGGAGGUUGCAGUGAGCCGAGAUCGUGCCACUGCACUCCAGCCUGGGUGCGACACAGGGAAACUCCGUCUCAAACAAAAUCAGGUUGUGUGUUUUUUGUUGUGGAGUUGAGGAUUGUGGGUUUUAUCUGAGGGAUGUGGGAGCUGGUGGAAGAUGUUAAGCACUGAAGACGCUGGCUGCUACCUGGGCUGCUGUAGAGAGAAAGAAGCUGAAAGGGUGGGUCAGCUAGUGGGAUAAUCCAGGUGAAAGGUGUUGGCCACUCGCUCUGGGAGGGAACAGAGGAAGUGGUGACACAGGACUGUCUCUGAAUGUAUUUUGAAAGGGGCGUCAACAGGCUUUGCCAGUGGGUCAGAAGUGAGCAGGGAGGGACUGCCUCUCACCUGGAAGCCUGGAGUUGCCUUAGCUGAGAAAGGGGAUUCGCAUCCUGUAGCUGUUGUGACAAAGCAGCACAGCCUGGGGAGCUGAGCAUGGUAGCAGCUCCUUCUCCCACAGCUCUGGAGGUCAGGCAUGAGCGGGACUGUGCCCCUCUGAAACCCGUAAACAGGGGUCCUUCCUGGCUCUUCCAGCUUCUGGUGGCUGUGAGUACUUGGUAUUCCUUGGCUUGUGGCCACCUCACUGCACUCUCUGUCUCCAUUAUCACGUGGCUGUCUUCACUCCGUGUGUCUGCGGCCCAAUUCCUCUCUUCUUGGGGGGAUGCCGUGUGCUUGCCUCAGUAGCACCUAUGCUAAAAUUGGAAUGACUCAGAGAAGAUCAGCAGAUUGUAAUGUAGAAAAGGAUACCAGUCAUUAGCUUAGGGGCCAACUCAAGGACCUCAUUCUCACUUUUCUGCUGUUAUUAUUUUUUUAAUUAUUAUUAUAUUUUUUGAGACAGAGUCUCACUCUGUUGCCCAGGCUGGAGUGCAGAGGCGUGAUCUUGGCUCACUGCAACCUCCGCCUCCUGGAUUCAAGCGAUUCUCCUGCCUCAGCUUCAAGAGUAGCUGGGAUUCAGGGGCGCACCACCACGACCAGCUAAUUUUUGUCUUUUUGGUAGAGACAGGGUUUCACCAUGUUGGUCAGGCUGGCCUUGACCUCAGGUGAUCCACCCGCCUCGGGCGCCCAAAGUGCUGGGAUGACAGUCGAGAACCACCAUGCCUGGCCUCAUCCUAACUUAAUUAUAUCAGCAAAGAUCCUAUUUCCAAAUCAGGCACAAUCACAGGUACUGUAGCUUCGUAGGACAUCACCAGAUCUUUCUGGGGGACACAAUUCCAGCCAUAGCAAAGGAGGAAGACAGCGGAGAAGCUCGGGGAGGAAGGCCGAAAGCCAAGUGUCAGAUGCAUCGAGUGGAGGGGUCUGCAGGACGUGCUGGAGGAGGCUGAGGAGGAUGAAGGCCGAGAGCUGAGUGUCAGACGCAUCGAGUGGAGGGGCCUGCAGGACGUGCUGGAGGGGAGGCUGAGGAGGCAGCUGUCAAACCAUACUUUUUAAAAGUUAAAAACGUUCCUCACACAACUGUAAACUGAAGAUGUGUCAAAGAUUUAUUUAAAUCAUUAGUGAGGAAGCCAGCACGAUGGUGAGGCUGGUUGGAAAGAUUGCAGAGAGGGAAGUAUUUGUAGUCACUUAAAAAAAGUUUGAGUAGGCUGGGCGCGGUGGCUCAGGCCUGUCAUCCCAGCACUUUGGGAGGCCGAGGCGGGCGGAUCACGAGGUCAAGAGAUCGAGACCAUCCUGGUCAACAUGGUGAAACCCCGUCUCUACUAAAAAUACAAAAAAUUAGCUGGGCACGGUGGCGCGUGCCUGUAAUCCCAGCUACUCAGGAGGCUGAGGCAGGAGAAUUGCCCGAACCCAGGAGGCGGAGGUUGCAGUGAGCCGAGAUCACGCCAUUGCACUCCAGCCUGGGUAAGAAGAGCGAAACUCCAUGUCAAAAAAAAAAGUUUGAGUAAUUCUGCUGAUUUAGAUUUUAAAAAACCCAAAAGUUUGUUAAUAUUCUACAGGGCCGUAAGGAGGUGGUGGUGGAAAAAAAAAAGAAAAAAAAUUCUACAGGGCCACGAACUGCAACCUUUCUUUCAUUUUUUAUUUUUUGAGACGGAGCCUCUCUCUGUCACCAAGCUGGAGUGCAGUUGGUGAUCUCAGCUCUGCCUCCCGGGUUCAAGUGAUUCUCCUUCCUCAGCCUCCUGAGUGGCUGGGACUACAGGCGUGCACCACCACGCCCAGCUAAUUUUGUAUUUUUAGUACAGACAGGUUUUACCGUGUUGGCCAGACUGGUCUCAAACUCCUGACUUAAGGUGAUCCGCCCACCUCAGCCUCCCAAAGUGCUGGGAUUACAGGCGUGAGCCACCGUGCCAGGCCAAACUGCAACCUUUUCUAACUGUAAUCUUUUCAACUGGACAGAAAUGAUUUCUAUCACUCACUACCAGACAAAACGUAUUUGUGUUGCCGUCAGACAGGAAUAAUAAGCCAUCUGUCUUCAACAGAUCAGUCUACCCUGCUGAGCUGUAAAAUAUCAUAGUCAAUAGUAAAUAGCAAGUUAAACAGGUGCACACUGCAGAGGAUCCCAAAGUCUGCCCGGCAGGCUUGCUCAGGAACACUGGACACAGGAAUUUGGGGGUAUGUAAUCCUAAAUUUGGGGAUGCUUUUAAACUUCCUCUUGGAAUGAUAAAUAGCCUCCGAAGUUAUUCUUGACCACAGAAAGCUAGUCUUGUGCUCUGACCUAAUUCAGCUACACAGGUGCUGCAAGAAACGGCAAUUAACACAUACCAGCGUCCUUGUGAGGUGACACAUCUAAGCCAUGUGGCGUUAGGCAACGACCAAGCCAGAAAGUCAACUUCUGUCUGGAGGUGUCAUCUUAAGGAAUGUAGGACUGAGCCUACAUUACACCAGAUACAUUUAGUUACAUUUCUCUUAUUUGUUCUUCUCUUCCUGGGCUAGGAAACCGAACGAAGUGGGUCUUCCUCAGGUGUGCCUACAGCACCCGAGCAUGUGCAGGUUUCCACUAUCUGAAGGGCUCCAGUGUCCUCCGUGGCUCUCAGCCUGCCAGGAAGUGUCCUUCUUACCAUGUGUGAGGCUGAUGCCUUGUGUGCCAGAACACAGGUGCCUGGCCAGUAUGGGUCUGAGGGUUGUGUGGGCACAUAGGUUAGGGUUCAGCACAUACACCACAACCCUUGUUCUUUAAUGUGGACAUGUUGUGGAGUCACAUGAAGUUUAUUCUCAAAUAUAACAUGCAUGGAAGGCCUUGGCUACACAAUCAAUUUCUCUAAUUAUAUCCUGGUGAAGAGGAGGACAGAUUUCUACCACAACAAUGCAAAUUACAAGAUUUUUAUUAAAUGUCAGUAAAACUAUUUUUCCUGAAUUCUGAAGUGAGAAAAACACCAUUUAAAGAAUGUUUCAUUGGCAGGGCGUGGUGGCUCACACCUAUAAUCCCAGCACUUUGGGAGGCCGAGGCGGGUGAUUCACGAGGUCAAGAGAUCGAGACCAUCCUGGUCAACAAGGUGAAACCCUGUCUCUACUAAAAAUACAAAAAUUAGCUGGGCAUGGUGGUGCGUGCCUGUAGUCCCAGCUACUCAGGAGGCUGAGGCGGGAGAAUUGCUUGAACCCAGGAGGCAGAGGUUGCACUCCAACCUGGGUAACAAGAGCGAAACUCUGUCUCAAAAAAAUAAAAUAAAAUAAAAAAAACCUAAAAAACCCCAAAACAGCAUCGCUGUGAACAUGUAUGCACAUGCCUCCCAAUGAACAAGUACACGUCUCUCGGAAUACACCCCGGCAUGGAAGGCACCUAGGAAUAUCUAUUGACUUAACCUACAGCCGGGAAUGGGUGUGCACACUGGGGUAGCUUGCAUCUUCUCAAAGUGGCCACAACUUCUGCCAUACAGCAUGCUUCUCUUAAAAUGUGAUUAUGACACAUCUCCCAAGAGGCGCGGUCUGUAUUUCCCCUAAUUCUUGAAUCUGGACAGGCUUAUCACUAUGGCAGAAGUGACACCGUGUGACUUCAGAAGCUAGGAUGUGGAAAGUGAUACAGGUCCAACCUGGUUGUCUUUAGAGUGUCGGUCCUGGAGAGUGGCUCCUGUCCCAUGAGGAUGUUCCCAAGGCCCUCAGCCCAGAGCCUGGAUCAAAGUCCCAGCCAUGUGAGUGCACCAUCUUGAAGUAGCUCCUCCAGCCCCUAGUGGAGGUGCCCCAGCUGAGGAUGCAUGAAGUAGUCUGGCUGUGCCUGCUGAAUCCUGCCCAAACAGCAGAUGUGUGAACGGAAGACGUGACUGCUGUUUUGAGCGACAAAGUUUUGGUGGUGGUUUGUUAUGCAGCAACAGGUCACUGACAGACAUGUCCACCUUCACUGGGUAAUGCCACUCGGUCAUGGUAUUUCCUGAGAUGACUGUCCCACGAGGCAUGCUGGCCAGCAGGGCACUGCUCCGCCGUGCCGUCAUUACUGAUAUUGUCCCAUAUGAACGCUGGUGCCUCUUUGCUGUGGUUUUAGUUUGCAUUUCCAAAGUUACUAGUAAGACGACUGCCCUCCCUUUCUAUGUUCCUCUCUGCCAGAAGCCUGAUGAUGACACGGCUUUCUUUGCUGACUUGGGUUUUGCGCAUUUUACUGGCUUGUGUCUCUUUCUAACAGAUUUGAAAGGUGUUUCUAAAUACUAAUAAUUUGCAAGGUGUACAUAUCUUCUACGUUUUCAUUCUUCAGUCUCUUUAUGGUGCCUUUUGAGGAACAAAGAUUUGAUAAUUUUCAUCCUUUUAUUUAUCUGUUUUUUUUAAUUAUUUUUUUUGAGACGGAGUUUCACUCUUGUUACCCAGGCUGGAGUGCAAUGGCGCAAUCUCGGCUCACCGCAACCUCCGCCUCCUGGGUUCAGGCAAUUCUCCUGCCUCAGCCUCCCGAGUAGCUGGGAUUACAGGCACGCGCCACCAUGCCCAGCUAAUUUUUUGUAUUUUUAGUAGAGACGGGGUUUCACCUUGUCGACCAGGAUGGUCUCGAUCUCUUGACCUCAUGAUCCACCC